rnacentral:rRNA from 1 species
UACGGGGGGAGCAAGCGUUGUUCGGAUUUACUGGGCGUAAAGGGCGCGUAGGCGGGCGCAACAAGUCACUUGUGAAAUCUCCGGGCUUAACUCGGAACGGUCAAGUGAUACUGUUGUGCUAGAGUGCGGAAGGGGCAACUGGAAUUCCCGGUGUAGCAGUGAAAUGCGUAGAGAUCGGGAGGAACAUCAGUUGCGAAGGCGGCUCUCUGGACCAGCACUGACACUGAGGCACGAAAGCGUGGGGAGCAAACAGG